GUGCCAGCAGCCGCGGUAAUACUAGCGGUCCAAGUCGCAACCACAUUUAUUGGGUCUAAAACAUCCGUAGCUUGCUUGAUAAGUUUCUUGUGAAAUUCUAUGUCCCAAACAUAGAGCGUGCAAGAAAUACUAUCUAGCUAGAGAUCGGGAGACGUAAGGAGUACGUUUAAAGUAGUAGUAAAAUGCUUUAAUCUUAAGCGGACUAACAAUAGCGAAGGCACCUUACGAGAACGGUUCUGACAGUCAGGGAUGAAGGCUAGGGGCGCAAAACGGAUUAGAUACCCGUGUAGUCCUAGCAGUAAACACUGUACACUAAACAUUGGGACCUCUUCGAGAGGUUUCAGUGCUGCAGGGAAGCCGAAGAGUGUACUACCUGGGAAGUAUAGCCGCAAGGCCGAAACUCAAAUGAAUUGGCGG
rnacentral:rRNA from 1 species